rnacentral:rRNA from 1 species
AGGACGAACGCUGGCGGCGUGCUUAACACAUGCAAGUCGAACGGAAAGGCCCUUCGGGGUACUCGAGUGGCGAACGGGUGAGUAACACGUGGGUGAUCUGCCCCGCACUUUGGGAUAAGCCUGGGAAACUGGGUCUAAUACCGAAUAGGACCAUGGCAUGCAUGUGCUGUGGUGGAAAGCUUUUGCGGUGUGGGAUGGGCCCGCGGCCUAUCAGCUUGUUGGUGGGGUUAAGGCCUACCAAGGCGACGACGGGUAGCUGGCCUGAGAGGGUGUCCGGCCACACUGGGACUGAGAUACGGCCCAGACUCCUACGGGAGGCAGCAGUGGGGAAUAUUGCACAAUGGGCGCAAGCCUGAUGCAGCGACGCCGCGUGGGGGAUGACGGCCUUCGGGUUGUAAACCCUUUCAGUAGGGACGAAGCGCAAGUGACGGUACCUACAGAAGAAGCACCGGCCAACUACGUGCCAGCAGCCGC